GAUGAACGCUGGCGGCGUGCCUAAUACAUGCAAGUCGAGCGAACAGACGAGGAGCUUGCUCCUCUGACGUUAGCGGCGGACGGGUGAGUAACACGUGGAUAACCUACCUAUAAGACUGGGAUAACUUCGGGAAACCGGGGCUAAUACCGGAUAAUAUAUUGAGCCGCAUGGUUCAAUAGUGAAAGACGGUUUUGCUGUCACUUAUAGAUGGAUCCGCGCCGCAUUAGCUAGUUGGUAAGGUAACGGCUUACCAAGGCAACGAUGCGUAGCCGACCUGAGAGGGUGAUCGGCCACACUGGAACUGAGACACGGUCCAGACUCCUACGGGAGGCAGCAGUAGGGAAUCUUCCGCAAUGGGCGAAAGCCUGACGGAGCAACGCCGCGUGAGUGAUGAAGGUCUUCGGAUCGUAAAACUCUGUUAUUAGGGAAGAACAAAUGUGUAAGUAACUAUGCACGUCUUGACGGUACCUAAUCAGAAAGCCACGGCUAACUACGUG
rnacentral:rRNA from 1 species